CCUACGGGAGGCAGCAGUGGGGAAUAUUGGACAAUGGGCGCAAGCCUGAUCCAGCCAUGCCGCGUGAGUGAUGAAGGCCUUAGGGUUGUAAAGCUCUAUCGCCAGGGACGAUAAUGACGGUCCCUGGAUAAGAAGCCCCGGCUAACUUCGUGCCAGCAGCCGCGGUAAU
rnacentral:rRNA from 1 species